CAAUAUAAACUAUGAUGCAGCUCUAUCUCAUGAUAAAAUAAGAAGUGGAGUGGGAUUUAUCUGUCGAAAUUCCUCUGGUAGACCCCCUUUUUUGCAGCUUCAAAUCCAUCCCACUUUACUUCAGCAUUACAGGAGAGGCUUUGGGAAUCAAGAAAGGGUUGCUCUUUGCAAUUGGAGAAGACUGUUGGAAAGUCGUUGAAUCGAAUAACAAGGAUUCUAUGACCUUUCUUCAAAAUCACACUACUCUAAUAUUGGAGGUGCUUCCCAUUUACAAGCACAUUCUCUACUUAUCAUCCUGCCUUCAAGAAUGUUCAUUUUCUUUUGUUUGAAGGGAAAAGAACUAUGUUGCUGACUCCCUUGCCUGGGAGGCCCUAUCUCUAACGGCGGAGAUAGUUUGGCCGUUAUCCACUCGUUGGCUUUUAAAACUAUGUAACUCUGAAACUUGGCUUCAGCCCUUUCAAUAAAUCAUCUCCUUACCCAAAAAUAAAUAAAUAAAUAAAUAGCACACUAUCUUCUGCAAUUGAGAAUUUCAGACCCAAAAGACUCAAGGAGAUGGAGAGAAAAAAUCUUCAAAGCAGAGAACAUCAGGGUCAUAAGAAGAAGGUACAUUCGGUGUCAUGGAAUUGCACAGGCACGAAGGUAGCUUCCAUUUCAGUUGAUCAAACAGCUCGAGUGUGGCAAAUAGAACCACACAGAGACGUAAGAUAUUCCCCAUCUGUUCCUCUUAAAUUCUCCAAACAUUUAAGGCUAUUGAUUAGGGUUUUCCGCUUCGUUGGCGUCUAUUUUCUGAAUUUUGGUUUACUUGUGCUGUGUGACAUUUUUGUUGGAUCCUUUUGAAUCACAAUUCUCCACAUUUUAUUUUGGUU